rnacentral:rRNA from 1 species
GCCUUUAGGAUAUUUAUCUUAAAGCCACCAAAUCCCAUCUGAUCCUGAAAGCUAAGCAGGGUCAGUCCUGGUAAGUACUUGGAUGAGGGUCCAAGAAGGAAUACCAGGUACUGUAGCCU